ACCUUGGUACUAAAAUAAAAUAAAAAUGGUAUCCAUUUUCAAAGUCGCAUAGACCUUUGCUCCCAGUGGGUAUAGUUUCGAAGGCUCAUUAUCAAUGGCGGACGCAUACUUCUUUCUUUUCUUUCUCCUUCCUCUGCUUCUUCUGGUCAUCCUCUAUUUCCUGGUUAAACCGCGACCGGUGAAGAUCCCAAUCAAGAAUCGGCACGUGUUUAUCACGGGCGGAUCCAGCGGCAUCGGGCUGGCCCUGGCACACCGCGCGGCGGCGGAGGGCGCGCGCGUGUCGAUAUUGGCGCGGUCGCUGGGGAAGCUGGAGGAGGCGCGAAAUGCGAUCCGGCUGGCGACGGGGAUCGAGGUGGCGGUAUUCGCGGCAGAUGUGCGGGACUUCGAGGCGGUGAAGCGCGCGGUGGACGAGGCCGGGCCAAUCGACGUGCUGCUGCUGAACCACGGCGUGUUCGUAGCGCUGGAGCUGGAGAAGAUGGAAUUGAGUGAGAUAAAGUUCACCAUGGACGUCAAUCUCAUGGGAACGUUGAACCUCAUCAAGGCCGCGCUUCCCGUGAUGAAAAACCGGAAGGACCCGCUGCCCGCUUCCAUCGCCCUUGUUUCCUCACAGGCCGGUCAGGCGGGCAUUUAUGGUUACGUAGCUUACUCAGCGAGUAAAUUUGGUCUCCGUGGUUUAGCAGAAGCAUUGCAACAAGAGGUUAUAGCUGAUAAUAUUCAUGUUUCUCUGAUUUUUCCUCCGGAUACAGAUACUCCAGGAUUAGCAGAAGAAAACAGGAGAAAACCGGAGCUCACCAAAAUCAUUGCAGCCUCAUCUGGUUGUAUGACAGCUGAAAAAGUUGCUCAGAAAGCUUUGGAUGGCAUAAAAAGUGGCAGCUUUAUUGUUUCUUGCAAUUUGGAGGGAAUUGCGCUAUCCCUAGCAACUGCAGGUUUAUCCCCUCAGAGGUCUUUCUUAAUGGCCUUUGUUGAGGUGGUUGCUGCUGGAAUCCUCCGGAUUGUUGCACUAGGCAUGCAGUGGACUUGGUAUGGAAGUAUAGAGAAAUAUCACAGCCAAAGGAAGGCUAUCCGGCAUCUCCGUUAAUUUGUGUCGGCAUGGCAAAUGGUGUGAGAUUGGGAGAAACAAUUUUGCCCGAUUGGAUCAGAGAGGUGACCAAAGUGAUAUUGAAAAAUUAUCUUAAUUUUUGUCGGCAUGGCAUCAGUUAGUUCGUGCCAUGAUAGCAUAUGGUUCAACCCGGAGUAGCUGAAACAGAGUCCUAUGCCCCAUUUUAGGAGUUAUAUGCAAGAUACUGGGAUGCUGCCUUCCUUCCACUCUGAAAUUCAAAUGAACGUUAACGAAUUAUAUCUCGAUAAACAUCAAGUUGAUUAAACUUUUUUUUUAUUAAAACUUUUCUUCCGUUUUCUAAUAUUUCCUAACAUCUCUUAAGUAACAUGUUCAGGUUCAGUAAUACGCUAUGGAUUGGAUAGGAUUGAUGUAUAUUUUCUUAAAAAAAAAAAAAAAAUUGCUCCUCA